ACUAUUCCAUGCCCAAUAGAUUUCCUGUAAGACCAUGAAAUUUUAACUGAUGCGUUGCAUCUCUUGUUCACUAUGUUUCUAGCACAAAAUUGUUACCGAAAAAUGUAUUUUGUGCAGCUGCAGAUUUUGGACAGAGCCACCAUUUGGUCUUCUUCUUCCACUCCGAUGCCUCCGUUCUGGCCUUCUUCUGCUCGGGCAUGGCUGAAUCAUCCGGGCAACAACGUCACCAGCCCUUUGUCACUCCGAGAAUAUACAUUGUGUUCACUUCUUUACACUAGCUCGAGGCGUACUAAAUAGAAUGUAAAUAUUGUAAUAUUGUAAUGGUAGGCAUAUCUGGGUUGGAUUAGACAUGUACAAAUUGUAGUAGGCUUAUUUACCAUUCUUGUUCUGUUUGAAAUAUUGAUUAUGUGAUUUGGAAACGUGUGAAUUGGAAUCUAGUUUAUGGGACCCAGUUAUGACACUAGUUUGAGCAGUUUUGAAAUUUCUAUCAUGUGGGCCCAAUAUGUGAGACUAUGACAAGUGGGACCUAUCUUAUUGGUGGGACCAGAUAUAAUGGCCCAAACAAUGUUAAAAGCCCACAACCCCAAAAAAAAGCCUGAAAAGUUGGGCCAGGCCCAUGUAGCUAACCAAAAUCAAUAGAAGAAAUAUAUAUUAAAAAGGUUGAAUUAAUGGGCUCGGCCCAUCUAAAACCUCGAACUGGACCGGGCUGAUUCUAAUCUAUGACCAAUUCAUUUGGUCAAAAUUUUGCCACAUCAGCUUGCCACGUUGGAUCCGAUGUGGCUUGGGCAGACAACGAACGACCAAAAUAAUUUCAAUGCUUUUGUUUCGUCAUAAAAUCCUAUGACGAUUUUAAUAGAAAGGUCGUUAUAGUUCAUUAGAGACCCUCACUUUUGACCUUCUCUUUUUGGUCAUAAAAAGGUCGCAAAUGGAAACCAACGACCAUUCCGUGACAAAUAUUGAAGGUCGUAUGUUGGCAUAUUUC